UGCUUCUGGCUCUAAUGCAUAGCCUCUUCUUGUCCUGGUGUAAAGCCUGCAUAGUGUUGAAUAUCUUGGUUUGAUAUGUUCUGCUUGAUGUGUGUAGCAUGAGUACUCUGGUUGGCUUUGAUAUGCUUUAGGAGACGUAUUUCAGUGGUGUGAUGCAAGGUGUCCUUGCUAUGGUUUAUUCCUGGUGCAAGUUCCUUGCUUAUGGAUCAUGAGUGAUUGAUGCAGCCUGGUGCAGUUGCCUUGACUUGAUGAGUUGGUAGUCUGGAUCCAUGCUUCUUGUUCCUAAGUUUGGUCUUGUUGGUCUAAGAAAACUUUCAAUCAAACAGUUCAUACAUGAUAAUUCUUUUC
rnacentral:lncRNA from 1 species